AUCUUUACCUGGCAGGGGAGACACCAUGAUCAGGCAGGUGGUUUUCCCAGGGUGAGGAUCAUCCCCUGCACUCCGGGUGUGCUGACCCCUGCGAUUUCCCCAAAUGCAGGAAACCCAACUGCAUAAUUUGUGGUAUGGGGGACUGCAUUCGUGCUCUCCCCUG
rnacentral:snRNA from 1 species